rnacentral:rRNA from 1 species
GAAUCUUCGGAGGAAGAGGACAGUGACUGAGCGGCGGACGGGUGAGUAACGCGUGGGCAACCUGCCUCAUACAGGGGGAUAACAGUUAGAAAUGACUGCUAAUACCGCAUAAGCGCACAGGACCGCAUGGUGUAGUGUGAAAAACUCCGGUGGUAUGAGAUGGACCCGCGUCUGAUUAGGUAGUUGGUGGGGUAAAGGCCUACCAAGCCGACGAUCAGUAGCCGACCUGAGAGGGUGACCGGCCACAUUGGGACUGAGACACGGCCCAAACUCCUACGGGAGGCAGCAGUGGGGAAUAUUGCACAAUGGGGGAAACCCUGAUGCAGCGACGCCGCGUGAAGGAAGAAGUAUUUCGGUAUGUAAACUUCUAUCAGCAGGGAAGAAGAUGACGGUACCUGAGUAAGAAGCACCGGCUAAAUACGUGCCAGCAGCCGCGGUAAUACGUAUGGUGCAAGCGUUAUCCGGAUUUACUGGGUGUAAAGGGAGCGUAGACGGAUAGGCAAGUCUGGAGUGAAAACCCAGGGCUCAACCCUGGGACUGCUUUGGAAACUGCAGAUCUGGAGUGCCGGAGAGGUAAGCGGAAUUCCUAGUGUAGCGGUGAAAUGCGUAGAUAUUAGGAGGAACACCAGUGGCGAAGGCGG